UGAAGAAUAUUUUUUAUUUGAUUAUUUCAAAUUAUGAAAACUCAAAAACGUAAUAAAAAAGGUAAAAUGUAUAAAACAAACCCUUAUAUUAAUAAAGUAAUAAGAAACCUAAACAAUAAAAUUAAAGAGUUAUAAAAUACAUAACACUAAGAUAUAAAUUGUAUAUUUAAAUUUAUAUAAUAAUAUCAAAAUUAAAUAUUUAUAAAAUAAAAAUAUACCCGCACGAUGUGCGGGAUAAACUCUAGUUAUCUUCUUAUGACUAAAUAAAAAACUGUAGACAUUUCUACUAUAAUCCUAAAAUAUUUCUCACGACAAUAAAGUUUUCUACGAUAAAACAUUUCAAGAUGUCUAUUCAUGUAUUUUAUCUUAAAAUUAAUUUAGAAAGUUUGAAAAAAUAUUUUGAUGGAAAAUAAACCGAAAUCUUAUAACUAUAGACAAUUCUAAAUGAUGUGAUUUUAAAUGUACUAAAAUUGAACUGUAAGUCAUGAUUGUUCUUUUUUGAAAGAAAGUCAUGAUUGUUCAUUGCUUAGAAUUUGGAAAAAUAGGUGUUCAAAAAAAAAAGGAAAAAUAUGUAUAAGUAUUGUUAUAUUUUUAGGAUUAUGAAAUCCUAAUUUAUUUUAAAAAAUAAAAAUUUGACAUAUAGUGUUUAUUUUUGUAUAUAUUAAACAUUAUAUAAGUUGAUUUUAUGUUUAAUGAAAUGUUUAUUUAAAUCUAGUUAAACUAUUUGAUUUUAGGGUUUAAGGGUACAAGACUUCUUAAGGAAUCUGUCAAGAACUUAUGCACUAGCACACUUCCUUAGAUAUCUUCUGGAACAUAAGGUAAAGUUAGGGUAAUGGUAAACUAUAAUGCACUAGUUGCUAAACUGCAAUGCAUUUGCAGAUUUCUUGAGAAGUCUUCUACACCAAAUUUUUUUAACCUCAUUAGAAUUUUUAUUUUCUUUUAUAAAGAAGUUUUACACCUUUUUUUUCUCUCACAUGUUUGCAAAAAAAAAUUAAUGUUUAUCUAUCAAAAACCCUCUAAUCUCUCUCUAAUCUAUUUGAAUUUGAACACACUAAACUUUAUAUCAAUUUCUCUUUUUUUUUGUCUCAUGUCCUUCUCAACAUUUCAUCUUGUUUUUUUUGCAGGUUUUCAUUUCAUGGUUAUCAUUUUCCCUCAUAAAAAGAUAGAUCUAUAAAUUUUAGAUAUCUAUUUUUGUAUGUUUUAUGUGUUAUAUUCGAAUAAAACUAUAUAUUUUGUAAGACAAGAUCCGGACACUCGUCCGACCCGGACCUCACACUACUAUCACUACCUAAACUAACCGCCACAACUGGUUGAACUGGUCAGCUAGCUUGUACGAACUGACUACACUAUACUGAGCUAACCUUCGCUGCCUAAACUACACUACACUACUCUGAGCUAGAUGGGAACUUGGUUUAGGUCGAAUGAGAAGCUUGGGUAGUGAUGUAUCUUGGAUUUUACCCACUUUCAGCCAUUGUAUAUAUUUGUGUGUUUAGGAACUAUCUAUGUUGUUUUGGAGUCUUUUUAGCAAUUUUACAGGUUUAUCUUGGAUUUUACCCACUCCAACAAGUUUUCUCUCAAAAUGAAUUGGGUUUCACCAAAAUCUCAUACUAAAAGUCGAUCUAACUUCUGGAAAAGUCUUUUUCUGUAUGUUUUCUAUGAAAAGUCAAAUUUCUGCAUGAUUUCGAUCAGUUGUCAAAUUAAUCUCUUUUUUUACGGAGACUUCUAAGGAAGUCUAUUCAUUUUUUUAUAAAGAAAAGUUAGAAUACUUCUGUAGAAAUAUUUUAUGAAAGAUUUACAAAACAGUCAAUUGCAAAACUAACCUAUACAUUAACUUUUUCAUAAGUCUUCUUCAUGAAAAAAAUCUGAAAAUUUCAUAUAUCAUACAUAGAUCCUGUGAGAGUACUUGUUGAACUUCUCCAAACACUUAGAAAUUUCUUUAUGAUAGAUACACAUUCGUUAUUGACAAAGAAUCAUCAAAUUUGAGUAAAUUUAAUGAAAAUGUCAUAUUGAAAUCCAAGAUUUUGAAAUUAAGGAUGACACGAGAGAGAAUAUUGAACGCUUGAUUUUGGUUGUUAAUGGUGACUGGUAAUACUGAAUACAAUGAUAUUUUUGUGAAUAGGUGAUGACGGUAAAUAUUUGAGUAAAAUUAAUAUAAAUAGUGACAUUUUCGUGAAUUAGUUGAAAGAGUGAAUAUAAUUUUUUUAAUUUUUUUUGUGUGUUUGACCAUAAAUUUUAAGUUAUUUUUGAAAGAAACUCAAUAAUAUAUCACAUGAAAAUACCACUAACAAAAAAGUUUAAUAAAUCGUUAGUUUCUUAGAGUGUGAUUGGAAAAAGUGGAGUAAAUGAGAGAAAAAUAAAUAAGUAAAAAUGAGUGAAAAAAUAAAAUUGGGAGAGAGAGUAUAGCAGAGUAAACAUAUUUACUCUUGCUUAAGUUGGAGUAAAUUUAUUUAUGUAUUUUUCUCUAUUCUAACAGUAACUAGAGGAAAAAGGAAGAAAUAUUUUUUCACCUGAUUGAAAAAAUCUCUUACUCUUAUUUACUCUAGAAGUGGCAUACAGUCACAACUUUAAAAAACACAUUCCACCUAACACUUUUCUUAGGUAAACUUUCUCGGAAAAGAACUUUGUUUCUUAUAGUUCUUCUUGUUUUAUGGUUUCAGCUUUUUUAGAAAUUUUUUUUUUUUGAUGAAACCUAAAAAAGACAAAUUAUAAAUUAGCUUUUAUCUUUAAAUAAAAUAUUUUUUAAAUCACCUCUUUUACAUGGCAUAGUAAAUUAUAUAAUACUUCAUAAGUUUUUGAACAAAGAAUAGUAAACUAUUUUAUAUUUGAAAACUGAAAAGUAUAAGAUACUGGCUGAACUGAUUAGGCCAAACUAAAUUGUGACCUAUCCACCAAACUAACUUUGAUGUAACAAUUGAUUAAUCAACUUACCAACCUUUAAACUUAUUUGAAUAAUCGUCACCAGCUCCAGUCUUCUGAUUAAGAUCAGAAGCAAUGAUUAAUCGAUUAUAAGUGCAUGACCGAUCGAAUGGAACGAUGGGCCAAUGUUCAUUUCUUAUUUUUUCCUUCGGUCACCAAACAAUGAUAGCCCAAUGUUCAGAAAACUUAAGUUGCUUAAAAUAAUAUUUAAAUGUUCAUUCUUUUUCAAACAAUGUAUCUACUUUUUGUUAUUUGUUUAGCUGUCUCCGUUAAAUUAAUAAAGCCUUCCUCCGUUUUCUUUAGUUUAGUUUAGUUUAGAUUUUCAAAUACCGCUUCCAUAAAAUAAUGGGAGAAUUAGAAAAAUAGGACACUUUGAACUUUUGUUUGUCACAAUAAAACUUCUUAUACUUUGGUAAUUUUGGACAUGUUUUAUUCUUCUUUAAUGGGAAAAAUAGUAAAUUGAAUUUUAAAAAUGUAAAAUAAUAUGAAAGCUAUUGGAAACAUAAGUACGACAAUAUAUAAGAGCUAAUUUUAUUUUUAAUUUUUUUACUACGGUCUUUAAAAUAAUCAAUUAUACUUUAUGUUGAUUUUAAAGAUAUAGCCAAAAAAUUAAAAAAAAAAAUGGUGGUAAAAACUUCAUUUUGUAAAAUCCCAUCUUUUUUGUUGUAUGAAAUAUAUUACUGUGAUAAUACAUUUUAAAGAUACAUUUUUUACAACUAAAUAAAAAAAAUCCUACAUACUAAAUUCUACAGUAAAAUUUCUAUAAUUACAACUCAAUCACCCGAACAUCUCUAACUAAUUUUAUUUUCUAAUUUUAAGAUAAAUUUUAGAGUAAAAUUUUCCAACCUAAUUCAAUUUAUUAUUCUAUAGUAGAAUAAAAAGUAGAUUUAUUUUAUAAAUAAAAUAAUUCGUUUAUUUUUUGUCCACAACUAUAUUUUUUACUCUAAAAUAACAUAGCAAUAAACUAUAAUCAACUCUAUUUUAAAUAAAAAUAGAAUGAACCAUUUGAAUUGGUCUUAGUAAUUCAUAACAUAUCAAGAGUCAGAGAAUGAAUAAAUAGGAACAAGCUAAAAAUAAAUAAUUUUUUUGACUUAUUCACUUCACCACAAAAGAAAAAGCGUCAGAUUAAUCUGCAUUCGACUAUAUGUUGUAAGCUCAAGAUCUUGGAGUUUAAUAGGUUGUUGCAGUGGUGAAGUUUUGGAUCAUGUACUUGUGUUACACACGGAGAAUGGUGUGGACACACGCUUCAGAGAAUAAAAAGGACACGUCAAGAAAAGAUGAAGCGUGAUAUUUAUGUUUGGUUAACGAAAUAAGCAUUAAAGGAAUGUUAGUAGAUCACAAAUUAGAAGAUUUUGUGAUGCUAAACUAUAGGAAAUAAUAUAUUAGAUAAUAGAAAAAAAUAUUUAAUAUAUGUCUUGGGUUUUCCUAGAAUUAGGGUUAGAAAUUUUGACAAUGUAAUUCUCAGAGAAAAACACAAAGGGUUUUGGAGUUUCAUACCUAAGUGAAUUGGUAGACUUGAUCAACAGGGUUUGAGUCAAGUAAGUUGGGUGUGUAAUAAAUCAAUAUGUGUUGAGUCGUGUAAUUCGGAACAAACAAGUCCGUAAGAGAUUGUGUAAAAGAUUUCUAAUAAAAGAAAACGUGUUCUUAGAACUACUUUGUGCCUUGUGUUUUCGAUUAAUCUCGAUUUUACAAUUGGUAUCAGAGCGGAACACCUAAACAAAGGAGGGUUCUUCGAACCAAUGUGAGAUCCUGAGAGAAUAUGGCGAUUUUGGCACAUAAUAUUUUGCUGCUGAAUGAUGUGAAUAAUGGGUAUUAGAAAGUGAGAAUGGGAGCAAACUUAUGCGGAACUGAUGAAAAUAUAUGGACAGUUGUUCAAUCUGGAUGGGAAGAACUGUGGGUGAUGCAAGAGGAUGGCUUGAAGACACCUAAACCGAAGACGAAGUGGACUGCAACAGAGAAAAACCUUUCAAAGUUUAAUGUGAAAGCACUGGAUACAAUCUUCAGUUUUGUAGGUCGAAAGCAAUUUGAGCUUAUACAUAGCUGUGAAUCAGCUAAUGAGGCUUUGAAUAUACUAAAAAUGUGUUUUAGGGUACUGUGGAUGUCAGAAGGAUAAGAUUGAACUUGCUUGCAUCACAGUUUGAAGACAUAAGGAUGGAUGAUGAUGAGAAGAUAGGAUAAUUCAAUGCAAAGCUUAGCUUCAUAGCAAAUGAAGCAUAAGUUUUAGGUAAAAAUACGAAGACGCAAAAUUACUGAAGAAACUUUUGCGAUGUUUACCUACUAAAUUUGCAGCACAUAAAGCGGUGAUAAAUUUGACGAUGAACACUGAUGAACUCAAGUUUGAUGAGGUAGUAAGGAUAUUAAAGGCUGAGGAUAUGGAAUUGGAAUCUAAAUCUUCAAAACCUGCUCAAGACUCUAGAAUUACAUUUGAUGAAGACAUCCAAAGAGCUCAAAAAUUUCAAGAAUAUAUUCACCUGAUGAUUUAGAAACUUGAAGAAACCACAAAUCUCUUAAGAUGUUCAAUGUCAGACUGCCUAUAGAAGAAGAAGAAAUACAUAAAAGUCAUGAAGUGGUGUGUUUUAAUUGUCAUGGUAUUGGACAUGUCAAAACAGAGUGUCCAUCAUUCAAAAGAAAAUAAUCAAGUGUAAUGGAUGUAAUGGUUAUGGACACAUAUAAUCAGAGUGUGUGAACACAAAGAAGAUGAAGCUGAAGAUGAAAAGAAGUUGUAGUGAUAAAAAGCCAGAAAGAAAAGAAGAUGCUCUCAAUUUCGUGGCUCUUCAUGGAAUUAUGGGGCCUUAAAAAGACAUCACUAAAGGUGAAUUUUCUGCGUCGUGUGUGUCUAACACCAAUUCUGAUGCAUCACACAGUGGUACAAAGAGUAAUAUAGAUGCAGAUCUUGUAGUUGAGUAUCAGGUUCUCUUUGGCAAGUAUGCAGAACUCAAUCACGAAAACUUGCAGCUCAUCAAGGAUAAAACUAUAUUAAAAGCUCAAGUCAGUAUCCUAGAUAUGGAACAGACUGACACAAAGGGUGUAUCAAAGUGUGGGAUGACAAAGAAUGAUGGUGAAGACGAGCUUCAGUCUCUUAAGAGAGUUAUAGCAGAGAAAAAUCGAGUUCAACAAGAGUCUGAAAUAAAGUUUCAUCAGAUGAAACAUCUGUUGAAUAAAGAACUUAAGAAGAGUCAGCUUCUGGAAAGACAACUUACUAAGAACUACAAGAAAGUAAGAAUGUUGAACAUUGGAUCAGCAAGUCUGGAUCAUAUCUUGUCAAUGGGAUAGUCUCCAAAAAUUAAUUGGGGUUUGGGUUAUCAAGGAUCAACUUCACAAUAGUAUGACGAGGCUGAAAGAAUAAGGUUCAUAAACGCUAAAGUAAAAUCAGAUGACAAACCAAAAGCUGCAGCACAAAAAGUUGACAAACCAAAAGCUGAAGAAAAAUCAGGAUCAAUGACAAAGACUAAAGAUAAUCAAAACACAGCUUGUGAGAAUAGAGGUUUGUUCAGUGGAAAGCGAGGUCGUCAUGAAACUAAUUCUCAAACGGUUAACAAGAAUGAAGAAACCAAGUUUGUAAAACGCUUAGUCCUAGUUUUUUGAAACUAAAACAAAGAUCGUGAUUCCAAAGAUACAAGACAUAAAAGUUGUUGCUAAGCGAAAGAAUGACUGUCACUUUUGUGGUAAGAUUGGACAUAAUGUUGCUUUUUGUUAUUCUCGGAGGAACCAGAUUGAGCGAGCUUGAAGGAUGAACAUUUGUUAUAUGGAACCUAGAAGGUGUGGACAUGUAUGUAUAGCUAAGAAGGAUUUGUAUCCUGAGUUUACAAAAGGUGUGUCAAAGGAGCGUACCAAUGUGUCAUAUACUCAAAUGGAAGAUCAAUGUACUGAACUUGAAGAACCAGUUCGAUGGCCUAGAAGGUAUUGAGAGUUUUGAUGGUCCAAAAAGUAUCAUGAAGUUUUUCACAAAGUUUUUCACUCAAUCAAGGGGAGAUGAUAAUUCAAGGGGGGGUUAAGUUUAUACUUUGAUGGGAUGUAUGAUGCAUAUUAUGCUAGUGAGCUUGAGCUGUAAAACUCAGUGAAACAAGAGGAGAAUGUAAGCUCAAGAACUUGGAGCUUGAUAGGUUGUUGCAGUGGUGAAGCUUUGGUUCGUGUACUUAUGUUACACACAGAGAAUGGUUAGUAGAUCACAAAUUAGAAGAUUUUGUGAUGCUAAAAUAUAGGAAAUAAUAUAUUAGAUGAUUGAAAAAGAUUAUUUAAUAUAUAUUUUGAGUUUUUCAAGAAUUAGGGUUAAUGCUUUUGACGUUAUAAUUCUCAAAGAGAAACACAAAAGGUUUUGGGGUUUUGAGAUUGAGUCAAGUAAAUUGGGUGUGUUAGAAAUUGAUUUGUGUCGAGUAGUAUAAUUCAGAUCAAACAAGUCUAUAAAAGAUUGUGUCAAUGAUUUCUAAUAAAACAGAUAUGAUAUGUGUUCUUAGAACUAUUUGUACCUUAUGUUUUCGUUGAAUCUCGAUUUUAAAUAUACUGUCGAUGUCUUUACCUAAUCAUGUGAUGAAGACCAUACAUUCCCAUUCCACCAAACUGAUAGUCCGUAGAAAAUAUCAGACACCUCCUAACACGACGAGUUUUAGAGAAGAUAAAAUCUACUUUAGAAAAUCAGUGUUUUCAUUUUUCAAAUAUCUUCCAAAUUGACUUUAGUGAAAAAUACGAGUUAAAUCUUGCAAUUUACUCAAGUCUACGCACAUUUUCUCAACUAACUUUCAUUUCCAUUAAUAAGACACAGUUCCCCGUACAAAUAAAUAAAUUAUUUUUUCAUCACUCAAUUAAUUAAACGUUCCCAUCAUACGACAUGUCGGUGAUUCACGUAUUGCCCGAUGUAUUUAAAAAAAAAAGGGGUCAAAUAGCACUGCCAGGUGCGUGCAUAUAUGAAUCCACAAAUCAGGAAAUUCGUUUUUUUUUGUACAAUUAUAAAUCAUAAAAUACUGUCCACUAUAAAUAGAAAUAUCCGUCUAUUACGGAUGUUUGAUUUAAGAGGUGUAUUUAUAGAGAAUGACAAAAUCUUGAGUAACAAUGACAUGAUUUUUUUUGUUCAAGUGAACAAGUGUUAUCUUUUUAGGCCAAAAAAUAUAAAUAUAUCAUAUUAGGCUAAUUUUGUGUACUUUAUGUCAUAUUAGUCUAAUUAUUUCCAAAAUAGUAAUAUAAACCCAAUUUCAAUUAAAAAAUCGAAAUUACAAUUAAUAAAACAAUUGUUAAAUAUUAAAAUAUAAGUUCUAACUAAAAUAAU